rnacentral:misc_RNA from 1 species
GGGUAUUCGAACCUGAUAACAUAAACCCGGAACCACAACGAAAGAAUUGCUCCCUCGCCCCUACUUGAAAACCACUGGUUGUUGCGUACAUCAGUCUCGCCGAAGACCACACUAAAGGGGAUUCCAGCAAACCGAAGAAAAACUCCACCAUCCCCUCUGUAAAUAAGUUAUUUGAUUCCAUGAUCAUGGAAUAUCGGUGAACCGGAAGAGGCUUGGC